AGUGAACGCUGGCGGUAGGCCUAACACAUGCAAGUCGAACGGCAGCACAGUAAGAGCUUGCUCUUACGGGUGGCGAGUGGCGGACGGGUGAGGAAUACAUCGGAAUCUACUUUUUCGUGGGGGAUAACGUAUGGAAACUUACGCUAAUACCGCAUACGACCUACGGGUGAAAGCAGGGGAUCUUCGUACCUUGCGCGAUUGAAUGAGCCGAUGUCGGAUUAGCUAGUUGGCGGGGUAAAGGCCCACCAAGGCGACGAUCCGUAGCUGGUCUGAGAGGAUGAUCAGCCACACUGGAACGGAGACACGGUCAAGACUCCUACGGGAGGCAGCAGUGGGGAAUAUUGGACAAUGGGCGCAAGCCUGAUCCAGCCAUACCGCGUGGGUGAAGAAGGCCUUCGGGUUGUAAAGACCUUUUGUUGGGAAAGAAAAGCAGCAGGUUAAGAACAAGCUGUUCUGACGGUACCCAAAGAAUAAGCACCGGCUAACUUCGUG
rnacentral:rRNA from 1 species